GAUGAACGCUAGCUACAGGCUUAACACAUGCAAGUCGAGGGACCGGCGCACGGGUGAGUAACACGUAUCCAACCUGCCUUCUACUCGGGGAUAGCCUUUCGAAAGCAAGAAUAAUACCCGACAUAAAGGAGGGGGAUGCGGUCCAUUAGGUUGCUGGUGAGGUCACGGCCCACCAAGCCUUGGAUGGCUAGGGGUUCUGAGAGGAAGGACCACCACAUUGGAACUGAGACCCGGUCCAAACUGGUACGAGCAGCAGCAGUGAGGAAGAUUGGUCAAAGAGCGGUAGCCUGAACCAGCGAAGUAGCGAGAAGGGUGAAGGCUUGUGGGUCGUAAUCUUCUUUUAUAUAAGGAUAGGUAUUAUAUGAAUAAGGAUCGGCUAACUCCGUGCCAGCAGCCGCGGUAAUUC
rnacentral:rRNA from 1 species